GAUGAAGAACGUAGCGAAAUGCGAUAAGUAGUGUGAAUUGCAGAAUUCAGUGAAUCAUCGAAUCUUUGAACGCACAUUGCGCCCUUUGGUAUUCCUUAGGGCAUGCCUGUUCGAGCGUCAUUUAAACCUUCAAGCUAAGCUUGGUGUUGGGUGACUGUCCGCUUCACGGCGGACUCGCCUCAAAAUUAUUGGCGGCCGGUACAUUGGCUUCGAGCGCAGCAGAAACGCGAACUCGGGCCCGUCGUAUUGGCUCCCAGAAGCUAUCUUCACAAUUUUGACCUCGGAUCAGGUAGGGAUACCCGCUGAACUUAAGCAUAUCCAAUAAGCGGAGGA
rnacentral:misc_RNA from 1 species